UACGUAGGGGGCAAGCGUUGUCCGGAAUUAUUGGGCGUAAAGCGCGCGCAGGCGGUCCUUUAAGUCUGAUGUGAAAGCCCACGGCUCAACCGUGGAGGGUCAUUGGAAACUGGAGGACUUGAGUGCAGGAGAGGAAAGUGGAAUUCCACGUGUAGCGGUGAAAUGCGUAGAUAUGUGGAGGAACACCAGUGGCGAAGGCGACUUUCUGGCCUGUAACUGACGCUGAGGCGCGAAAGCGUGGGGAGCAAACAGGAUUAGAUACCCUGGUAGUCCACGCCGUAAACGAUGAGUGCUAGGUGUUAGGGGUUUCGAUACCCUUAGUGCCGAAGUUAACACAUUAAGCACUCCGCCUGGGGAGUACGGCCGCAAGGCUGAA
rnacentral:rRNA from 1 species